AGAGUUUGAUCCUGGCUCAGGAUGAACGCUAGCUACAGGCUUAACACAUGCAAGUCGAGGGGCAGCAUGAACUUAGCUUGCUAAGUUUGAUGGCGACCGGCGCACGGGUGAGUAACACGUAUCCAACCUGCCGAUGACUCGGGGAUAGCCUUUCGAAAGAAAGAUUAAUACCCGAUGGCAUAGUUCUUCCGCAUGGUAGAACUAUUAAAGAAUUUCGGUCAUCGAUGGGGAUGCGUUCCAUUAGGUUGUUGGCGGGGUAACGGCCCACCAAGCCUUCGAUGGAUAGGGGUUCUGAGAGGAAGGUCCCCCACAUUGGAACUGAGACACGGUCCAAACUCCUACGGGAGGCAGCAGUGAGGAAUAUUGGUCAAUGGGCGCAGGCCUGAACCAGCCAAGUAGCGUGAAGGAUGACUGCCCUAUGGGUUGUAAACUUCUUUUAUAAAGGAAUAAAGUCGGGUAUGGAUACCCGUUUGCAUGUACUUUAUGAAUAAGGAUCGGCUAACUCCGUGCCAGCAGCCGCGGUAAUACGGAGGAUCCGAGCGUUAUCCGGAUUUAUUGGGUUUAAAGGGAGCGUAGGUGGACAGUUAAGUCAGUUGUGAAAGUUUGCGGCUCAACCGUAAAAUUGCAGUUGAUACUGGAUAUCUUGAGUGCAGUUGAGGCAGGCGGAAUUCGUGGUGUAGCGGUGAAAUGCUUAGAUAUCACGAAGAACUCCGAUUGCGAAGGCAGCCUGCUGGACUGUAACUGACGCUGAUGCUCGAAAGUGUGGGUAUCAAACAGGAUUAGAUACCCUGGUAGUCCACACAGUAAACGAUGAAUACUCGCUGUUUGCGAUAUACAGUAAGCGGCCAAGCGAAAGCGUUAAGUAUUCCACCUGGGGAGUACGCCGGCAACGGUGAAACUCAAAGGAAUUGACGGGGGCCCGCACAAGCGGAGGAACAUGUGGUUUAA
rnacentral:rRNA from 1 species